GAUGAAGAACGCAGCGAAAUGCGAUAAGUAGUGUGAAUUGCAGAAUUCAGUGAAUCAUCGAAUCUUUGAACGCACAUUGCGCCCCUUGGUAUUCCAUGGGGCAUGCCUGUUCGAGCGUCAUUUACACCCUCAAGCUCUGCUUGGUGUUGGGCGUCUGUCCCGCUGCUUUGCGCGGACUCGCCUCAAAGGUAUUGGCAGCGAUCAUGCCAGCUUCUCGCGCAGCACAUUGCGCUUCUUGAAGUUCUGGUGGAUCAGCGUCCAUUAAGCCUACCUUCAUGACUUGACCUCGGAUCAGGUAGGGAUACCCGCUGAACUUAAGCAUAUCAAUAAGCGGAGGA
rnacentral:misc_RNA from 1 species